rnacentral:rRNA from 1 species
UACGGAGGAUGCGAGCGUUAUCCGGAUUUAUUGGGUUUAAAGGGUGCGUAGGCGGGCCUUUAAGUCAGCGGUAAAAAUUCGGGGCUCAACCCCGUCCGGCCGUUGAAACUGGGGGCCUUGAGUGGGCGAGAAGAAGGCGGAAUGCGUGGUGUAGCGGUGAAAUGCAUAGAUAUCACGCAGAACCCCGAUUGCGAAGGCAGCCUUCCGGCGCCCUACUGACGCUGAGGCACGAAAGCGUGGGGAGCAAAUAGG